AUUGAACGCUGGCGGCAUGCCUUACACAUGCAAGUCGAACGGCAGCACGGGAGCAAUCCUGGUGGCGAGUGGCGAACGGGUGAGUAAAGUAUCGGAACGUGCCCAGUCGUGGGGGAUCACGUAGCGAAAGCUACGCUAAUACCGCAUACGAUCUAUGGAUGAAAGCGGGGGAUCGCAAGACCUCGCGCGAUUGGAGCGGCCGAUAUCAGAUUAGGUAGUUGGUGGGGUAAAGGCCCACCAAGCCGACGAUCUGUAGCUGGUCUGAGAGGACGACCAGCCACACUGGGACUGAGACACGGCCCAGACUCCUACGGGAGGCAGCAGUGGGGAAUUUUGGACAAUGGGCGCAAGCCUGAUCCAGCAAUGCCGCGUGCAGGAUGAAGGCCUUCGGGUUGCAAACUGCUUUUGUACGGAACGAAAAGGCUCUCACUAAUACUGGGGGCUCAUGACGGUACCGUAAGAAUAAGCACCGGCUAACUACGUGCCAGCAGCCGCCGUAA
rnacentral:rRNA from 1 species